UGUCAAACCCCGCGUGGGCCGGCUCUGGCCGACGGCGGCAAACGCCGAUUGAUUUGUUAUUUAUCCCACUGACAACAAAGAGAGUGAAAAAGUCAUAAUUCUGGGCACUGGGGAAAUUCAAUUCCUGUAGCCCUGUCAGCUACAUUAACUUACUUCCUGGAUCUCAAUUCAAUUAGAGCAACAUUCCCGAGCAUUAAUAAAUCAAUACUCAUGCCAUUUUGAUAUAUUUGGAAUGUCUUUCAUUAUAUAUUUCAGUGCGGGGAUUAUUGUUGAAUUGGAAAUUAAUGAGACAUGACAGGACAGGUAGAAGUUACUGAGGCAGCCUCCCGGAGCUAUAGAACAAUCGUCGUGAUUGCCUGCUCCAGUCGGCGGUUCUGAGAUCCCUACCCCGCCGACCCAUCCCUUGGGACCGUCUCUCUGCCUCUGGGGCGCUUCCGAACGCAGAGUGGAAAGUAAAAGAUGGAGGUGCCCGGAAGCCCAAGAAAGACCCAGUGUUUUACUUGUCCAAUUUCCUCGCGGAGCGUGUGAGGCCCCCAGAUGUCGGGAGUAGGCGAGAACAGGUAAAGUUCCAUCCUUUCUCGAUUCGUUAGAUCCUUCCUCCUCUCCGCCGCCG